GACGAACGCUGGCGGCGUGCUUAACACAUGCAAGUCGAGCGGUAAGGCCCUUUCGGGGGUACACGAGCGGCGAACGGGUGAGUAACACGUGGGUGACCUGCCCUCAGCUCUGGGAUAAGCCUGGGAAACGUGGGUCUAAUACUGGAUAUGACUCCACGGUGCAUGUCGGUGGGGUGGAAAGCCUUGUGCGGCUGAGGAUGGGCCCGCGGCCUAUCAGCUUGUUGGGUGGGGUGANGGCCUACCAAGGCGACGACGGGUAGCCGGCCUGAGAGGGCGACCGGCCACAC
rnacentral:rRNA from 1 species